rnacentral:rRNA from 1 species
AUUGAACGCUGGCGGCAUGCCUUACACAUGCAAGUCGAACGGUAACAGGUCUUCGGAUGCUGACGAGUGGCGAACGGGUGAGUAAUACAUCGGAACGUGCCCGAUCGUGGGGGAUAACGAGGCGAAAGCUUUGCUAAUACCGCAUACGAUCUACGGAUGAAAGCGGGGGAUCUUCGGGCCUCGCGCGGACGGAGCGGCCGAGGGCAGAUUAGGUAGUUGGUGGGAUAAAAGCUUACCAAGCCGACGAGCUGUAGCUGGUCUGAGAGGAUGAUCAGCCACACUGGGACUGAGACACGGCCCAGACUCCUACGGGAGGCAGCAGUGGGGAAUUUUGGACAAUGGGCGAAAGUCUGAUCCAGCCAUGCCGCGUGCAGGAUGAAGGCCUUUGGGUUGUAAACUGCUUUUGUACGGAACGAAAAGCCUCUUUCUAAUAAAGAGGGGUCAUGACGGUACCGUAAGAAUAAGCACCGGCUAACUACGUG